GUGGGGAAUAUUGGACAAUGGGCGAAAGCCUGAUCCAGCCAUGCCGCGUGUGUGAAGAAGGUCUUCGGAUUGUAAAGCACUUUAAGUUGGGAGGAAGGGCAGUAAGUUAAUACCUUGCUGUUUUGACGUUACCGACAGAAUAAGCACCGGCUAACUUCGUGCCAGCAGCCGCGGUAAUACGAAGGGUGCAAGCGUUAAUCGGAAUUACUGGGCGUAAAGCGCGCGUAGGUGGUUUUGUAAGUUGGAGGUGAAAUCCCCGGGCUCAACCUGGGAACUGCCUCGAAAACUGCAUGACUAGAGUACGGUAGAGGGUAGUGGAAUUUCCUGUGUAGCGGUGAAAUGCGUAGAUAUAGGAAGGAACACCAGUGGCGAAGGCGACUACCUGGACUGAUACUGACACUGAGGUGCGAAAGCGUGGGGAGCAAACAGGAUUAGAUACCCCUGUAGUCC
rnacentral:rRNA from 1 species